UCCUCAACCAAGCGGGCCAAACCAAGUACGUACCUACAGGUGCCAUGAUUCCCCUAACACAAGAAAGUGGCUAUAUUCUUUUGCUUUGCUCAGCCACAAUUUUCCAUCCCACGGACAAACUACUGGUACAUAAUGCUAUCACCUUCUCAAUCGUCUUCAAUUCUCGACCAUGCAACCCAAAUGAGUUUCUCCAGUUUCAGUGCUUAUGUUUCUUUUGUAACAUCCUGUACGUGUUCAUAACAGAAAUCCAACUGCCCCAGAGUUUAACCUGAAUUUGUGGAAAAAUUUAGCAAAUUAGUAGGAACCCAUUUUUAGUGAAGCUGAAGAUUAUCAGAGACCACCAUGAUUUUGCCGCUCGAUUUGAAAGAUUUCCAGGAAAAGCUCUCCAUAAAGUUGAGACCUUGGCAGCGUUCUUUUGAGUUCUGGGCUCGAACUAUUGACAUCUACACUGGCUAUAAGGUGUUUCAACUUAAAGUGUGCUUUGAGAAGGAUGUGAAAAAGCAGGAGGCAAUGUGGGAGAGGCAGCAUGAGCUUGCUGCUGACAAGAUUUAUAAUAUGUGUGCUGAUCUUGGUGGGUUUUUUCUAAAGGUUGCACAAAUAGUUGGGAAACCUGACUUGGCACCAGCUGCAUGGGUGAGAAGACUGGUCACACUGUGUGAUCAAGCUCCAGCUACGCCGUACAAUGUGAUCAAAGCUGAGCUGGAGAAGGAGCUUAGUCAAAGUGUUGACGAGUUGUUUGACACAUUUGAUGCCAAUCCUCUUGGUUCAGCUUCAAUUGCUCAGGUUCAUCGAGUACGGCUAAGGGGUGACAAGAAUGAUGUUGUUGUCAAGGUGCAACACCCUGGGGUUCAGCAUUUGAUGAUGACAGACAUCCACAACUUGCAAGCUUUUGCUUUGUUUAUACAGAAGACAGAUAUCAAAUUUGAUCUAUAUUCUAUAACCAAGGAGAUGGAGAAACAGAUUGGAUAUGAGUUCAACUUCUUGAGAGAGGCUGAUGCUAUGGAAAGAAUUCGCAAUUUCUUAUAUGCAAACAACAAAAAGAGCCCUGUUUCGGUGCCUCGCGUGGUGCGGAAUUUGGUCACUAGGAAGGUUUUGGUAAUGGAAUGUAUUAAUGGAAUCCCCAUUAUGAAACUUGGAGAUGAGAUAGCGAAAAGAGGCAUUAAUCCUGCUGGUAAGGUAGCAGCAGCAGCAAAGCAGAAUAUCCUGAAAAGUUUGACACUUGCAUAUGGACAGAUGAUUCUGAAGAGUGGUUUCUUUCAUGCUGAUCCUCAUCCAGGAAAUAUUCUGAUAUGUCGAGGUUCAGAGGUUGCUUUACUUGAUUAUGGGCAAGUGAAGGAUCUCCCUGAUCAGCUGAGGCUUGGAUAUGCUAAUCUAAUUCUUGCAAUUGCGGAUAAGGAUCCUUUAAGGGCAAUAGAGAGCUUCAGGGAGCUUGGAAUAAUUACCUUGACGAAGUGUGAGGAUGAGCAGAACGAAAUGCUUAAAUUGGCAACGACAAUGUUUGAUACAAAACUACCUCCUGGAGUCAUGAUGUUGCAGCCUUUUUCAGAAGAUUCUUCAAUAAAAAGAAUUUCUGUGGAGGACAAAUGCUGUAUCACGAUCAGCAUUUAUCACAGGUCAAGCAUCCUAAUCACAAUAGGAGAUAGGAGAUGUAGAAUCCUGGACAUGGCUUGUACAGGUUUUUAUAUGGCAUCAUGAUCUAGGGUAUACCGCUUGGUUCUCCAAAGAGUUUGGUUCUCACUCUUCUGGCAGGUAGCCAGCACUUGUAUAAAUUAAAUCUGGCUGAUUGCAGGCCUAACAACUUGAAGUCCAAAGCAUUAGCCUGAAAUGCUCAAGUCAGGUAAGUAGUAGUACUAUAACUGAGGUCUUAUGAGCAUUCAUAAAAUCUCUGCGCAUGAUGCAGAAAAGUCUAGAGCAUUAGCCUGAAAUGCUUAAGUCAGGUUAGUAAUGGUACCGUAAUUAAGGUCUUAUAAGCAUCCAUAGAAUCUCCAUGCCUUAUGUGGCAAGACGGGCUUUAAUCCACAUUUUGCAUGUCUUGAGCUCCAAAAUUGUGGAGUUGCAAAGAGGGAGAAGAGAAGCAAGAUUAAGCUGUAACAUUAAGAGGAUCCUUCAAAUUGCCAGGCUUGGUGCCCAUACUCGCUUGAAUUUUGAACAGUUUUUUUCUUCUCCCUCACUUUAUAUCCUUUAAAAGGGCUGGUAGGAUUGAUGCGGCUUGGUUUCUAUUUUCUUUAAUGGGAAUGGGUUGUCAAAGCAUUGGAUUUAUACCAGGGCAUCAAAUAGGGGUGGCCUAAAUUUUUAAGUUUGGGCUGUAUUGACCACUAAUGUGGUGGGAACAAUAUUUUCAGCAAGGAUAGAGCAUCUCAUGUUUGGGCAUAUUAUCCACUUUUAUAUUGUAACUUAUCUAGAGAACUUCUUGAUCCAUACUGGAAGCAAGCCAAUCUUUCCAUUUCUAAUUUGGGAACUGAGCAUUGCUUUUUGUUUAUUGUUUUUUUCAAAGCAGAGGUUGGAUUCUUCAUAUCAUAACCCCCCUUAAGAAUUAUUAUAAGUUGACCUCAACAAUAUCAAUAAUUUCGGGCCUAAUCUUGCAAAUUUCGUAGUUUAUGUCUUCCCAAUGCAAUUUAAACCUACAAAGUUCCUACACUUGGAAAGUCUCAUUUCCAAGAACAUAGUUUUUUUUUUGGGUGAUAAAAGGGACUGUAAACUCUGCUCAUGAGUAUUCACUCUAACUUUUGAUUUUUGGUCUUGUUGUUCUAUGUUAUUUGACAUUGAAGGAAAUACUUCUAAAAAUGAUUUAGCUGUAAUGAAAAAAAUUCCUUAUUCUGCUAACUUAGAUUCUGAGGUUAAGUCUGGUUUAAUUCCUCUUUGCAUUUGUCUAUACAUGCCUUAAAUUUGGAAUAUAUUCAGUAUUAUGUAGAGAUAUGACUUAAGAUGAUUCAAAUGUUAGAUAUGUACCCAAAAAAAAAAAAAAAGAAGAAGAAUGAUACUUCAUUACUGUAGCUGUUUCUUGAUGUAUGAUAAGCUAUUAUGGGACUCUCGAAUCGUGAAGAUGAUAAACUUGAUAUGUUAGAAACUGGUUCUUGCAGUGUUUUAAUAAUCGGUUGAUGAUUGCAAGUUAUGCACCAAAAUUGUAAUUGUCCUGCUGUGAUAUGAUGAUGACAGGCUUUUCCAGAAGAACUGUUUUCUGUUCUUCGUACUGUGCAUCUAUUGAGGGGGCUCAGUGUCGGUAUGGGAAUUAAUUAUUCAUGUGCUGAGCAGUGGAGACCUAUUGCUGAAGAAGCUCUGUGUCGUGCGGGCAGGCUACCAGAUAAAAAUUCAAGACGAGGACGUAGACGCGGGUACCUCAGAAGGAUAUUUCGGAGACAGUAAAAUAACACAUGAAGAAAAGCAGGCGGUUUACAAAAAAAAAAAUUGAGACAUUUAUCAUUCUUGGUAUAGAUAAAGUCUAUUGUAAUACACUAGUAACUGUACACUUACUGAUUUAGAAAUAGAUAUCUCAGGCUCUUCUGAUGUGAUGCUUUUCAUUGCUGAUGCUCAACCAUUAAUUGUAGGUGCCAAUGCAAAAUUGUAUGGCACCAAAUCAGUUCCUUGUCCAUGACACAGGCAAAAUCAGUAUUCUGUAAUAGACUGACAUGCAAGAUGAAUAUUCUGCAUUUGUGGAAACUACUUUUGACCUGACUAUUAGCAUGAGAUCCUCCAGCUUAUGUAGUA